CGGCGUGGAUUAGGCAUGCAAGUCGUACGCACAGCAAUGUGAGUGGCGCAAGGGUGAGUAAUGAGAAGGUAACCAACCCUGAAGUUGGGCAUAGCCGCGGGAAACUGCGGGUAAUACCCAGCGACGUCACGAGGUGGCAUCAUCUUGUGACCAAAGGUGUGAUUCCGCUUUAGGACGGGCCUUCUUGGUAUUAGGUAGUUGGUAGGGUAACGGCCUACCGAGCCUACGAUGCCUACCGGGUGUGAGAGCAUGACCCGGCACACUGGAACUGAGACACUGUCCAGACACCUACGGGUGGCUGCAGUCGAGAAUCUUCGGCAAUGGGCGAAAGCCUGACCGAGCGACGCCGCGUGAGGGAUUGAAGGCCUUCGGGUUGUAAACCUCUUUCGUAAAGGAGGAAGGGGCCGUGCAGAGCGGUCUUUGACCUAUUCUAGGAAGAAGCUUGGGCUAAGUUCGUGCCAGCAGCCGCGGUAAGACGAACCAAGCGAACGUUAUUCGGAAUUACUGGGCUUAAAGCGCGUGUAGGCGGAUGACCACGUCGAUUGUUGAAAUCCCCCGGCUCAACCGGGGAACUGGCGUCGAUCCAGUUGUUUGGAGGUGGGUAGGGGAGACUGGAACUUUCGGUGGACCGGUGAAAUGCCUUGAGAUCGGAAGGAACGCCCGCGGGGAAAGCGAAUUUUUUGGACCAUUCUUGACGCUUAAACCCGAAAGCCCAGGGGAACCAAACCGGGAUUAGAUACCCCGGUAGUCCCUGGCUGUAAACAUUUGGGCACUGGGUA
rnacentral:rRNA from 1 species